rnacentral:rRNA from 1 species
UACAGAGGUCCCAAGCGUUGUUCGGAUUCACUGGGCGUAAAGGGUGCGUAGGUGGUCGGGUAAGUCUGAUGUGAAAUCUCGGAGCUCAACUCCGAAACGGCAUUGGAUACUAUUCGGCUUGAGGGUUGGAGGGGGGACUGGGAAUUCUCGGGUGGUAGCAGUGAAAUGCGUAGAUAUCGAGAGGAACACCAGUGGCGAAGGCGAGUCCCUGGACAACUCCUGACACUAAGGGCAACGAAAGCUAGGGGAGCAAACAGG